AACCCAAGCCAAUAAAGAACAAAGAAAGAAAUGGCGAAAGCUUAUGUAAUCGCCCUCUUUUUCUUCGUCGUUUGUAUUUCCUCCUACCUUAGCUUCGCCUAUGGAGCAGCAGGCAAAGCAGGUAAUUUCAGCGUCGUAGGCCAUGUUUACUGCGACACUUGCCGCGUUGAAUUCGAGACCAAGCUCAGCCAAGCCAUAAAUGGUGCAAUUGUGAGACUGGAAUGCAGGAACCGUACCACCGGAUCCAUUACCUAAGGGAGCCUAGACGCAUCAACCGACGAAAAGGGAGACUACAAAAUCGAAGUGGAGGGAGAUUAUGGGGAUUCAGACUGCGACGUAAUGCUGGUGAAGAGUCCCCGACCGGACUGCAAUGAUCCAACCGAAGAAUGGAGGAAAGCCAGGGUUGUCCUCACCACGCUCGACGGCAUCAGCGGUGAUAUUCGCUUUACCAACAACCUUGGGUUCAAAAUAAAGGAAUCUCUGCCCGAGUGUAAACAAGUUCUUACAGAGAUGGGUUAUUAUGAGCUUAGGGAUGAACUUGGAGACGAAGCAACAAACCCUUGAACGCCAAAA